rnacentral:rRNA from 1 species
AAUCUGCCUUGAAGUGGGGAAUAACUGCUCGAAAGAGUAGCUAAUACCGCAUGUGCUUAUUUUCGAGAGAGAAUAAGUAAAGCUCCUUUCGGGGGUGCUUUAAGAGGAGCCUGCGACUGAUUAGCUAGUUGGUGGGGUAAAGGCUCACCAAGGCUGUGAUCAGUAGCUGGUCUGAGAGGAUGGUCAGCCACACUGGGACUGCGACACGGCCCAA